AAAUUGAAGAGUUUGAUCAUGGCUCAGAUUGAACGCUGGCGGCAGGCCUAACACAUGCAAGUCGAACGGUAACAGGAAGCAGCUUGCUGCUUUGCUGACGAGUGGCGGACGGGUGAGUAAUGUCUGGGAAACUGCCUGAUGGAGGGGGAUAACUACUGGAAACGGUGGCUAAUACCGCAUAACGUCGCAAGACCAAAGAGGGGGACCUUCGGGCCUCUUGCCAUCAGAUGUGCCCAGAUGGGAUUAGCUUGUUGGUGAGGUAACGGCUCACCAAGGCGACGAUCCCUAGCUGGUCUGAGAGGAUGACCAGCCACACUGGAACUGAGACACGGUCCAGACUCCUACGGGAGGCAGCAGUGGGGAAUAUUGCACAAUGGGCGCAAGCCUGAUGCAGCCAUGCCGCGUGUAUGAAGAAGGCCUUCGGGUUGUAAAGUACUUUCAGCGGGGAGGAAGGUGUUGUGGUUAAUAACCACAGCAAUUGACGUUACCCGCAGAAGAAGCACCGGCUAACUCCGUGCCAGCAGCCGCGGUAAUACGGAGGGUGCAAGCGUUAAUCGGAAUUACUGGGCGUAAAGCGCACGCAGGCGGUCUGUCAAGUCGGAUGUGAAAUCCCCGGGCUCAACCUGGGAACUGCAUUCGAAACUGGCAGGCUUGAGUCUUGUAGAGGGGGGUAGAAUUCCAGGUGUAGCGGUGAAAUGCGUAGAGAUCUGGAGGAAUACCGGUGGCGAAGGCGGCCCCCUGGACAAAGACUGACGCUCAGGUGCGAAAGCGUGGGGAGCAAACAGGAUUAGAUACCCUGGUAGUCCACGCCGUAAACGAUGUCUACUUGGAGGUUGUGCCCUUGAGGCGUGGCUUCCGGAGCUAACGCGUUAAGUAGACCGCCUGGGGAGUACGGCCGCAAGGUUAAAACUCAAAUGAAUUGACGGGGGCCCGCACAAGCGGUGGAGCAUGUGGUUUAAUUCGAUGCAACGCGAAGAACCUUACCUGGUCUUGACAUCCACAGAAGAAUCCAGAGAUGGAUUUGUGCCUUCGGGAACUGUGAGACAGGUGCUGCAUGGCUGUCGUCAGCUCGUGUUGUGAAAUGUUGGGUUAAGUCCCGCAACGAGCGCAACCCUUAUCCUUUGUUGCCAGCGGUUAGGCCGGGAACUCAAAGGAGACUGCCAGUGAUAAACUGGAGGAAGGUGGGGAUGACGUCAAGUCAUCAUGGCCCUUACGACCAGGGCUACACACGUGCUACAAUGGCGCAUACAAAGAGAAGCGACCUCGCGAGAGCAAGCGGACCUCAUAAAGUGCGUCGUAGUCCGGAUUGGAGUCUGCAACUCGACUCCAUGAAGUCGGAAUCGCUAGUAAUCGUGGAUCAGAAUGCCACGGUGAAUACGUUCCCGGGCCUUGUACACACCGCCCGUCACACCAUGGGAGUGGGUUGCAAAAGAAGUAGGUAGCUUAACCUUCGGGAGGGCGCUUACCACUUUGUGAUUCAUGACUGGGGUGAAGUCGUAACAAGGUAACCGUAGGGGAACCUGCGGUUGGAUCACCUCCUUACCUGAAAGAA
rnacentral:rRNA from 1 species